rnacentral:rRNA from 1 species
UACAGAGGGGGCAAGCGUUAUUCGGAAUUAUUGGGCGUAAAGGGCGCGUAGGCGGCCAUGCGUGUCUUCCGUGAAAUCCCUCGGCUUAACUGAGGACGUGCGGAAGAAACUGCAAGGCUCGAGUCCGGGAGAGGGGGGUGGAAUUCCCAGUGUAGCGGUGAAAUGCGUAGAUAUUGGGAGGAACACCGGUGGCGAAGGCGGCCCCCUGGACCGGUACUGACGCUGAGACGCGAAAGCGUGGGGAGCGAACAGG